UUGACGAACAGUGUGGGGUCUGUGUUACAAUUUACUUUCAGAGUAUCGUCACUCUUGCAAUUUUUAUAUAUUAAAAGAUGAAAUUAGAUAAUCAUAUAGAGAGUAUAUAACAAGGAAAAAUUCAUAUGUGAUCACUUGGAGCAGUAUUACGCCAGGGACACGGGCUGCACGGUUGCACGCAGUGUGGUCUCUUACAUAAGUUAGAACAGAGGUUAGAAAGAGAAGCAUAGAGAAUACGUUCGACCGAUAUGAAUAGUUGACACGAUGUUUUCACUUGACAUCAGUUUUCAUCAGAAAAUGAAGCUCUGCCUGCGUCUUCGGAGGUACACUCACUACGAAUUCAACAUGAAGAAAUCAAGAACAAUGUUUUGUCAACGAUCACCAAUCCAAUUAAUAUGAAGAUUAACGCUGGUUCCCUUAAACACGUUGAAACGCGAAAACACGCGAUAAUAUUGAAGCGCGAGGAAAGUUAACAGGCUGAACCAUCUACGUCCGCAACGUAUACAUAUACUGACAGCUACGUAGACGAAACGAGUCUCAUAAAUGCACGAAAUCACGUCUACUCACACGCACUGUGAUACUCAGAUCGGAUAGUGUCUUCGUUGACAGAAGACGAGUCCAUAAACUCGCGUUUCACAAACGUACAGCGAGAUUCUGCGAGACGAAAUGAAGCAACUAGCUGAACGAAAUGACAAAAGUGAGGUUACGUAGGUCCAGACUCGAUGACACGAGUUAUCGAGACGCAGUCUGAUAGUCGAUGACUUUUACAACAGAUUUCUCUCCUUUCUUUCUGUUCCUACCGUCUCUCGGAUCGUGACAAUGGACUAGAAGCUGCAGCGGCACGCUGCACACCCAGGACGCACCACGCAAGUUCCAGCUGACGUCCUGGCGAAUCGAAGAAGUGGGGAGGGAACGGAGCAGUCAAGUGUGGUGGACAGCCCUCACGGACUUAGAUCGGCCCUCGUGGCUCAAAGGAGAAGCAUAAGUGGGAAAGCGGAAUUAAAGAUUAGUUGGUUAUGUUUUGCAACUCUUUGGUUAUCAUUGGUACCUGUACGUGAUAGAAGUCAAUGCUUAUAGAAGGUUAAAGUGAUUACUACCGCAUUGAGCACCUCUCGUCUCCAAACACGUCGGAUCAAAAGGUUACUUGAAAAAUUAAGAAAAUGAAUGAACUUAAAUUACUCAAAGUAAAUGAAAGAAACGUGCAAUUUUUAUUCCGACAAAGUAAUAACGAACGAAAUGGAAAAACUAUACACAACUGUUCAAUGACAGUUUCUUCUAUGGAUCGAAAGCGCGGUCGCGAAACUAGACCGUGUUAAGCCGCUUAGAAAUGCGGCCCGUCAUCCCGACAAUGCACGUGUACUCGUUCAGAGGUACGCAAGCAGCUCGAUUGUCGACGGCGAACUCGUUGUGCCUCCAAGCUUCGAACGCCACGAAUCAGCAGGAGGAAGAGGGAAUCACCAACGCUACAGGAAGGGAGAAUCACCGAGACAGAAAAGGAGGAGAAUGUAAGCUUUGGCAAGAGUUGGAACAAGAGAAAACGAUCAGCAGUCGGCCAACCGCGUGAGACUGAAUGAACUCGUCUCUGACCCCGACUUGUCCUGCCUCGUUCCCGAGCGAUGACAACCCCAGUCUACCACCUCCUCGCCUCUUCCUCCAUUUCGCAAUGCCUGUUUUAUCGCAAGAGAUUUUUCAUGUUUGUCGAUGAUUAUGGUCAGAGCUUAAUUAUUGUAGCUAUUAAAAAAGUUUGAAUUCAAUAGUGAUUUAAAAUGUAAUAUUUGGAAUUUGCUUUGAUCCAUUUUAUCCAAUUUGGAAUCCAACAUUGCUUUUAGAAUACUUAGAAUACUCAGAAUUUUCUGAUCAUUUUAUUCCUCUUUUUAAAUUGCAAGUAUUUUUGCAUUCUAAGUGAUCUAGUCUUUCUUCAAAGAAAUUAUUCUCAAAUAAUUUAGUUUCACAACAUGACGUUCUGCACAACUAUUGUUUUGUUACAAAUUAAUCGCAUCGCCCAAUAUUUCUUUCGUCUUUCUUUUUACCAGUCUAAUUGUAUCAAGUACAAAGAACAGCCAGAAUUAUCUUUCCCAUUUCUUAGGAAAAUCAUAUCAUAGAAUCUAGAGCUUUUAUAUCAAUGAGUCAGUAGUUUUGAUGCGGUUUAGGGAGAUGGAGGAGCGUUUGUCUUUGAUCAUCGAAAUCGCAGGACUUCGAUAAAGGGAUAUCGCAAAAGGGAUAUAGCCAGUGGAUUACGCAAAACAGAAGUCGAGACAGGGAAAUAAAGCGCGUCGGGACGGCGACACCUCGUCCACGCGCAUGCCAGCCUCGCUCGUGACGUCAGAGAGCGAAAAAUCAAUCCACCCUGUACAGUGCGGCAGGACAGGGACGUUGUAUAUCUGGCCGCCAUGGUCACCGUCAUUGAAUUAGCCGAAUUAAUUGUAGUUCGCCUAAUCGAUCGCCCUUGGGCUAAUUUGCAAUUUUAGAAUUCUGUCGAUCGUUGAUAUCUUGGAAUGUGACGAAUGUUUUCCUUUCUUGAAAUGAGUUUUUAGGGAGGAAGAGGUGGAAGUGUAGAUAGCUAUAGAUUCAGAGAUGGAGGUAGAGGAUAUUAAUAUACGAAAUGUGGCUGGGAUUGCUUAAACUGAAAAAUGGAAAGAAAGAAGCGGGAGACCUAGUUGUUACGCGGCUCGACUUGGCAAGAAGUCCCACAAGGAAGUUGUAUAAAAGAUUGGAGUAGUAUUCUAGUUUGAGUUUGUAAACUCAUUUAUGAAAGUACUGAGAUGAAAUUGGAAUUUAGAAAGAGUUUAGGAGAAGUAUGAAUACAUAAUAUACUCAAUAAUGAAUGAAGAUAACUAUGAUAGAAUGUACAUAAAUGUAGAAUAUUGUAAUAUCAAAGUUACUAUAGAUAUAUAAAAUUUCAAUAUUAGGAUUCAACAUACUACAUUUUCAAGAUUACGAUGUUCCAACUACUUUGAAAUAUUUAAACAUUUUUCUACGAUACUAUGAAAUUGAAAUUAAUCAAUAAUUUCGUCUUGUUCAAAUAAUUUCUAUUAAUUUUAAGAAUAAACAGAUCCAGAUUAAAAAGACAAUAAGAUGCUAUAGGUAAAGCUUGCACGUCGUGAAACGUUUCGUUACGCAAUCCAUUCAAACAGCACCAUUUAAUCGAUUAAUUAAUUAUCCGUUCCACCUCGUUAAGACCACACAUGCUGGUGUAAUUGAAAUAAUGCUUAUGUAAUGCAAGACGUUACUUCAGAAGAUAGGGACGCCGAUCGUUUUUCCAUAAUGCACAAAUGAAUCCCAGAUUGCGCGAUAUACAAGCUAACAAACGCUGGAAAACGUAUUUCAACGAGUUUUAUUAACUGUAGAAUACUUUAUUCUGAUCCAAUCGCGAUGCACCUUCCCACAAUAAUCGAAUCGACAUGCUGACGUCGGACAUCUCAACGACCAAUGACUCAGAGAUAGUACGUUCGAGACCUGACGCGAUCGUGUCUCAGCUACGAGCAAACAAUCCGUAAGAUUGCAACCGAAAGGGAUUUCUGCAUUGCUGUUGUCCCGUGCCUCGGCUUGGA
rnacentral:lncRNA from 1 species